AAAGAGAGCUGUCCGUCGACAGUCCAGAAUUCAUUUAAUAUCACUGUCAUGGAAUUGCUCUCUUUGU
rnacentral:pre_miRNA from 1 species